GAGCACGUAGGUGGGUUUGUCGCGUCGUCCGUGAAAUUCCGGGGCUUAACUCCGGGCGUGCAGGCGAUACGGGCAUAACUUGAGUACUGUAGGGGUAACUGGAAUUCCUGGUGUAGCGGUGAAAUGCGCAGAUAUCAGGAGGAACACCGAUGGCGAAGGCAGGUUACUGGGCAGUUACUGACGCUGAGGAGCGAAAGCAUGGGUAGCGAACAGGAUUAGAUACCCUGGUAGUCCAUGCCGUAAACGGUGGGCACUAAGUAGAGGGG
rnacentral:rRNA from 1 species